UACAGAGGGUGCAAGCGUUAAUCGGAAUUACUGGGCGUAAAGCGUGCGUAGUCGGUUAUCUAAGUCGGGUGUGAAAUCCCCGGGCUCAACCUGGGAAUUGCAUUCGAUACUGGAUAGCUAGAGUUCGGCAGAGGGAAGCGGAAUUUCGGGUGUAGCGGUGAAAUGCGUAGACAUCCGAAGGAACAUCAGUGGCGAAAGCGGCUUCCUGGACCAGAACUGACGAUCAGGCACGAAAGCGUGGGGAGCAAACAGG
rnacentral:rRNA from 1 species